GGUCUCAUGGUGUAAUGGUUGGCACUCUGGACUCUGAAUCCAGCGAUCCAAGUUCAAAUCUCGGUGAGACCU
rnacentral:tRNA from 1 species